rnacentral:tRNA from 1 species
GUUGGUGGGAAACGGGAGUCGUGGGUUCGAUUCCCACAUGC